rnacentral:lncRNA from 1 species
GCUUGAACAAUGCAAAAUUAAUGAAAUAAUUCUUAAUAUUAUGUACAAAGAUAUAUUACAAAUGAAUUUCUUUGAAAAAAAAUAUAAAGAAUAAAACUUAAGCUAAAAAAAAACUCAAUUGAAGCAAGAAUAAAAUUAAAAGGAUAAUUUACAAAUGAAAUAAGUUUUUGAAAUUAAAACAAGGACCCCUGCGCAAUGCGUGCAAAUGUGUAUGGGCUAAAGCUGGAAAUAUUCCAGAUCUCCAAAAACACUCUGCUGAGACACGGAUCCAAUUGCAAAUACGCUCAAAUUGCCAAGUCAAAUUAGAAAAGAAUUAAGCAAACAACAUGAGAUUGAAUGGUAGCGCGAAAGAAGAAUGACCAAUUGCGGAAUUAUCCCUCUCCGUAGAAACACGCGGAUCCCAGGGGUAAAUGAACCGGAUUGGGUCGGCCAAGCCUAAACGGCACUGUUUCAAGGCUACAAAUCCAUGCCUUAAACGUCAUCGUCUCAUGGUGCCAAUUAAAAUAAAAAAAACAUCCUCUAAAAGCUUAUUUCGGCAGAGCAGAUUGAAAAGGGGAAAAAGGAAACCCUAAGGAUUUACUCCCAUUCGGCCGCCGCUUUCAACAUCACAAUUGAUGGAUGGCGCCGUUAGAUCCCCCUCCCUAAUCACCGAUUCAUCUUCACAGAUGGUGCUCGUCGAUUCUGGAGAAAUCUCAACCCGAAAUCCCUCCUCAACUUCGAUUUCAACGAAGAAAGGAGAAGAAAUCCAUGGCCUGCUCGCAUGGUAAGGUUUUCCUUCACCUUCAUUUCUUUUCGACAGAAGUAGAUGCAACCAUGAAAAUAAAUCGAAUGCAAAAGAAAAAAAGAACAUAAAGCUUAAAUCGGAAAUCACCUUUAAAUUUUGGUAGCUUUUUUUGUAUUUCAGUAUGUGUGUAUGCAUAUAGUGUGCGUAAGUCCUCUUAGAGUACAUUCAACGGCAUUUUAUAGCCAUAUUUACAAAAUAAAAUAAAAAAUAAAAUUACAUUUUCAUUGCUGUCAUUUGCUGUGAAUUCAGUUAUCUCUUUCUUCUAGUGUCUUCUUUGCAGGAACGGCCAUACAGAGGAGCGGGGAAAGGUGCACGUGAAAGAGGCUGUGCGGGGAAACCGUUCGUGGGAGCCAGACCCCCUGGCACUGUUCUGGCACGUUCCAGAAGCUUCUAGUGCUCUUGGCUGUUGAGAUUCCCCUUUUGGGUUCCGGAUUUGGGCUAAGUUUAGGAUAUGGGUUUAUGAAUUUGGGUUAGAAUUGUAUCUGGGAUGGUAUAGGUUCUUUAUUUGGGCCUAAACAUUUGUAAAAGGACACUGAUGAUGGACUUUUAUUGGUUUUUAUCUUAAUUUAUUUUUGUUUUUGUUUAUUUUGGUUUUUGGUUUUUCUCUAACAAGCCCGGGCGAAAUGGGCCAAUUACACAAUCAUAUGAAUCACAACAUUUCUAUCAAUAGGCCAAGUACAGGUAAACACAUUUAGAUACACAAACGUUUCUCAAUGAGUACAUAUGCAUUUUCUCAUGUAAGCUUACCAAUUACUUCACUUUUCAAUACUUGUAUGUAUCUCGU